UGGGGAAUUUUGGACAAUGGGCGGAAGCCUGAUCCAGCAAUGCCGCGUGUGUGAAGAAGGCCUUCGGGUUGUAAAGCACUUUUGUCCGGAAAGAAAUCCUUGGCUCUAAUACAGUCGGGGGAUGACGGUACCGGAAGAAUAAGCACCGGCUAACUACGUGCCAGCAGCCGCGGUAAUACGUAGGGUGCAAGCGUUAAUCGGAAUUACUGGGCGUAAAGCGUGCGCAGGCGGUUUGCUAAGACCGAUGUGAAAUCCCCGGGCUCAACCUGGGAACUGCAUUGGUGACUGGCAGGCUAGAGUAUGGCAGAGGGGGGUAGAAUUCCACGUGUAGCAGUGAAAUGCGUAGAGAUGUGGAGGAAUACCGAUGGCGAAGGCAGCCCCCUGGGCCAAUACUGACGCUCAUGCACGAAAGCGUGGGGAGCAAACAGGAUUAGAUACCCUGGUAGUCCACGCCCUAAACGAUGUCAACUAGUUGUUGGGGAUUCAUUUCCUUAGUAACGUAGCUAACGCGUGAAGUUGACCGCCU
rnacentral:rRNA from 1 species